GUAUUUCUCACUAUCUCUUACCCUGGAUGAAGAAUGAUCCUCCACACGCGUAAUCUUCAGGUUUUAUCACAAACACCACGAAGAACUGCUCAUCUGGAAAAUCCUUCUUCUGUGUAAGACAUAACAACCUUAUGAUAGGCCCAUAAGGAAGACAGUGAGAAGAAGGGAGAAAGUCCAUGGGGGUAGGGACACAAAGAAAGAGGAAAAGUAGAGUUCACGCCAGCCCUUUACCCACUUGGAAAGGACUCUCACAUAACUGUAAUUGAUUCCAGAUUAUCUACAAUAAGAUAAUUAUUGCAUCAAAGAAAUUAAACAGAUACACUACUAUGGUUUGAGUCUAUUUUGUGCCCACAUGAGUGCUUAGAACUAUGAUAGGCACCAUACAAAUAAUGUCAAUAACCUACACUUAAUAAUUAAUAUCUGCAUAUUAAGUUUUUGUUUUAAAAUCUAAUGAUAAAUGACUUUUCUAAAAGUUAUACACUCAGCAGUUAAAUAAAUAAUUCAGGUGAGGGAGGUGAAGGACCCAAGUUGGGAGUCUUGAUUUUGACUUUCUCUUUGAGCUUCUCUGUGUCCCAGUUUCCUCAUCUAUGAAUGUACUAUGGUUGAUAAGAUAACCUUUAAGGUAUAUUAGAGUUCUAUAACCCUGAAUUAUUUUUUAUCAUCCUCAAAUUUCUGGUAUUAUGUUUUGCCCACUGAGAAAAUGGUCUAAGACUGAAGAGGGGACUCCAAAAGAAGUUUAUUGACAAAUACAUCUAAGGCAGACAUGAACUGAUAUGCCUUGCCCUUCAUUAAUGAAGUAUUCUGGGUGAGGUAAAAUCUGAAGUUCCCUAUUAUUUUUCUGUCAUUUUUAAAUUUUGGACCACGUGAUGCUGAGAUGCUAAGGAAGAAAUACUAACAACAAGAGAAGAUAUUUGGGAUAUCAAGUUUGAGACCCUUGAAAAUUAAAGUUAGACUGAUAGAAUUUGUGAGUCCUGAUACCUCUUCAUUCUAUGCUUAUUAUUCAAGGAACAAUAUCACCUUUCCCUAGAGAACAGGUCAAGUCACAGGUUCUUUAAGUCAGUACCACUCCAAGGGCAAGGACAGAGUUUCUUUGAAAAUAUGCUGCUAUGAUAUAUGUACCUUUUUGCAUGGAAAUAAUAAUUUAAUUACAAAUACCAAAGGAGUAAACUGCUGCACAAAACACUUCAUAUUGCUUCAUAUGAAUCUGUCAUUUUGUCCAGUCGUAGUCAUAUUUUGCUGUUAUUGGUACAGACUAUUAGAAUAUAUUUAAUUGCUUUAAGUGGAUCUGAUAAACUUCAUUGUAAAAAUUGGCAA
rnacentral:lncRNA from 1 species